rnacentral:rRNA from 1 species
CCUACGGGAGGCAGCAGUGGGGAAUAUUGGGCAAUGGGCGCAAGCCUGACCCAGCAACGCCGCGUGAAGGAAGAAGGCUUUCGGGUUGUAAACUUCUUUUGUCAGGGAAGAGUAGAAGACGGUACCUGACGAAUAAGCCACGGCGAACUACGUGCCAGCAGGCGCGGUAAUACGGAGGAUGCGAGCGUUAUCCGGAUGUAUGGGGUUUAAAGGGUGCGCAGGCGGAAGGUUAAGUCAGCGGUAAAAUUGAGAGGCUCAACCUCUUCGAGCCGUUGAAACUGGUUUUCUUGAGUGAGUGAGAAGUAUGCGGAAUGCGUGGUGUAGCGGUGAAAGGCAUAGAUAUCACGCAGAACUCCGAUUGCGAAGGCAGCAUACCGGUGCUCAACUGACGCUCAUGCACGAAAGUGUGGGUAUCGAACAGGAUUAGAUACCCGUGUAGUC